rnacentral:rRNA from 1 species
GACAGAGGCCUCGAGCGUUAGGCGGAAUCACUGGGCUUAAAGCGUGUGUAGGCGGGCCCGUAAGUGUCUUGUGAAAUCCCACGGCUCAACCGUGGAACUGCUGGGCAUACUGCGGGUCUUGGGCCAACUAGGGGCAGCCGGAACAAGCGGUGGAGCGGUGAAAUGCGUAGAUAUCUGGAGGAACACCGGUGGCGAAGGCGGCAUCCUGGACCGAUACUGACGCUGAGGAGCGAAAGCCAGGGGAGCAAACGGG